ACCUGGGUCUAGAGUGCGGAACUGCUCCGUGGCCACGAGGACGUCACCAUGCCUAAAGCACCAACGGGAAAAAGUGCAGGACGGGAAAAAAAAGUCAUCCAUCCAUAUAGUAGAAAAGCAGCUCAAAUUAAGAGAGAGGCCCACAAACAAGAAAAAAAGGAAAAAUUGAAGAAUGAAAAGGGCUUGUGUCUCAACCUUGUUGGUGAAAAACUUCAAUGGUUUCAAAAUCAUCUUGAUCCCCAAAAAAAGAGAUAUUCAAAGAAAGAUGCUUGUGAACUAAUUGAAAGGUACUUAAAUCGAUUCAGCAGUGAGCUGGAGCAGAUUGAGUUACAUAACAGUAUCAGGGACAGGCAGGGGAGGCGGCACUGUUCCCGGGAGACCGUCAUCAAGCAGACGAUGGAGCGGGAGCGACAGCAGUUUGAAGGAUAUGGCCUUGAGAUUCCAGACAUUCUAAAUGCAAGUAAUCUGAAAACAUUUAGGGAAUGGGACUUUGAUCUGAAGAAAUUACCAAACAUUAAAAUGAGAAAAAUUUGCCACAAAUGAUGCAAUCCCCAAGAAGUGCAAGAGGAAAACUGUUAUAACUGUAGACCAAGAUUUGGGGGAAUUGGAACUAAAUGAUGAAUCAAGUGAUUCAGAUGAGGAAAUGACUGCAGUGGCCUAAUUGUCUUCACUUGAAUUGAAAAUAAAUAAUUUGAGAGCUUCAAAUU